GAAAUACCAGUUAUGUAUAUAUCCCUUCUGAUAUACACUCUGUGGGAGAGUGUAUCUUCCAGAUAUAUACCAUCCUACAUAUGCUUCUUACAAUGUAACAUCAACACUUCAGUCAAGAGGUGAAGUCUAUUAAACAUAUCUCAUUUCUUUCUCUUUCCUUUUCCUCAUUCUCUGACUUCUCUCUUUUAUCUUCAGCCACUCAUGGAACCCAGCCAGCCACUCUGCUGUCAGCAAGUCCACACUAGCCAUGUAGAAAAAUAACACGGAAAGUUCCACAUGGAGAGAAACUAACUCCCCCAUUCAAUAGCUAGUCAAAAAAACAACCAAGGAUAAGCAAUCCUUCAGAUGAGUCCAGCUUCCAGCCAUUGGGUCUUCCAACUGAGGCCUCAGAUACUGUGGAAAAGAGGAUGGAGAGAAGAAUGAACAUUAAGGAGGGAGUGAAGAUGAAGAAAAUGCAAAGAUACGUGCACCCUACUUCUUUAGGAAGGCUUCAAGAAACUGCCAUGGGAUACUGCUGCUUACAUCUCACUGGCAAGUGAUGUCACAUGGCUAUACCUACGUGCAUGGAAGGCUGACGUACAUGAUCUUUAUUCUGGGCUACUAUGAGCUCAGCUAAAAUUUCCAUUACCAUGGAAGAACAGUUUUAUGGAUGCAGGCAGAAGACACAAGACUCCUGGGUCAGAGACAAAGGGCAUUAUUUCUCAGGACACAGGAAGCAUCAUGAGCAUCAGUAUGUUUGGGUCAGUUCUCUUCACCUACAAGUCCCACACGGAUGUUGCCGAUGGGGCUAGAUGACAUCUGCACAUUCAGUAAGUUGUGUUAAAGGGAAGAAACCCAAAGUUUUUAUAAUGGACAGUCAGCAUUCCUGCCUUUUGCUCCAGAGAUAGACACUGUCUAUAACUUCCAAUGUUGUUUGCUAUCCAUACAUUCUUGAAGACAUAGUCCAGAACAAAGGACAGUUAAUGCCUUAUUUAUAAGAUGUGCAGAAACACAAAUGAUCCAGGGAGCUGUCUGUCAGCUAUUAGAGAUAUUCUCCUUUUAUCUAGUAUAUUGCAUAUGUUUUCUCACAAUCACUACUUAUAAUAGCUCUUAUGUUUUCUCCUUGUCUGUCUUCCUAUGGUCUUUGCUCUGAUAUGUGUAUUAUUCAACAUAAUAUGGAAAUAAUUUCUCUCAUUUCGGAUA
rnacentral:lncRNA from 1 species